rnacentral:tRNA from 1 species
GCAUUGGUGGUUCAAUGGUAGCAUUCUCACCUUCCAUGUGAGAGACCCAGGUCUGAUUUUCGGCCAAAGCA